rnacentral:rRNA from 1 species
UACGUAGGGUGCUAGCGUUGUCCGGAUUUAUUGGGCGUAAAGGGCUCGUAGGCGGCGUGUCGCGUCGGGAGUGAAAGCCCGCUGCUUAACGGCGGGUUGGCUUCCGGUACGGGCAUCGCUGGAGUGCGGCAGGGGAGACUGGAAUUCCUGGUGUAGCGGUGGAAUGCGUAGAGAUCGGAAAGAACACCAACGGCGAAAGCACUCUGCUGGGCCGACACUGACACUGAGAGACGAAAGCUAGGGGAGCGAAUGGG